UGAGGAAUCUUGCGCAAUGGGGGAAACCCUGACGCAGCCACGCCGCGUGGGUGAAGAAGGCCUUCGGGUUGUAAAGCCCUGUCAGGUGGGAAGAACCGCAGUCUGGCCAAUACCUGGACUGCUUGACGGUACCACCAAAGGAAGCACCGGCUAACUCCGUGCCAGCAGCCGCGGUAAUACGGAGGGUGCAAGCGUUGUUCGGAAUUACUGGGCGUAAAGCGCGUGUAGGCGGACCGGUAAGUUGGGAGUGAAAGCCCUGGGCUCAACCCAGGAAGUGCUUCCAAUACUGCCGGCCUUGAGUUCCGGAGAGGGUGGUGGAAUUCCCGGUGUAGAGGUGAAAUUCGUAGAUAUCGGGAGGAACACCAGUGGCGAAGGCGACCACCUGGACGAGAACUGACGCUGAGACUCGAAAGCAGUGGGGAGCAAACAGGAUUAGAUACCCUGGUAGUCCACGCCGUAAACGGUGUUCACUAGGUGUAGCGGGUAUUGACCCUCGCUGUGCCGCAGCUAACGCAUUAAGUGAACCGCCUGGGGAGUACGGCCGCAAGGUUAAAAACUCAAAGGAAUUGACGGGGUCAUAGCUGUUUCCU
rnacentral:rRNA from 1 species